ACUCUUUUAGCAUUUAAUUCAUUAUGCAUUACAACUAGCAUGUUCUCUACUUUACGUUAACAUGCAAAUGCCAUUUACCUCAUGCAUUUAACUAGCAUCAUUUAUAUCACAUCAUCAUGCAUUCUACUUAGCAUUUUGCAUCAUAUUGUCCACAUGCAUUAGCUAUGUCAUUUUAUUAACAUGCAUCAAUAUGAAUUUGUAUGUUUCUUAGACAUAAAGGGCGACCUAGUCGCUUCGGUAAGCACAACCCACCUCACUUCGCAUUCCGAUUGCUUGUCGACACUUGCAAUCGGCCUCCCGCGGCACCCGUAAUCCGGUUUGGCCCGAUCUCGCGCGCGACCACCCGAACGGCCUCCAAUUCACGAUCUGAAAAUUAAAGGUCUUCGGUUAUGUGCCACGGUGCUUCAAAUCCGUUUUCAUGGGUUUACGAUGUCGCCUCGGCCCUCCAGGCGGAAACGAAGCCUAAACGUCCGUUUCUUUAAUAACUUUACAACGGCUCGACGAAUCGCCGAACCGACUUCGCCAACGCGUUCGUUUACCUAGCAAUUAGGUUUACGAAGGGUCAAAUUAGAUCAAACCCCCAUAUUUUACAAAACCCCAUUCGGAGCCCUAACAUGCAAUUAACCUCUAAAUAAUCCAAAUCAAAUGGAGCAAACAUGUUUAGAAUGCUCAUUAGAGGCUAUUAGAACACUUAAAACUAAGGAUUAAGCCAAAUCCUAAAAGCUUACCUCAAUAUGAACGCCACGACGAAAAUACGCCGCUCCAACGGGCGCACAAAAGCUCGAUCCGUCGCCUCCAACGCGUUCGCAAGCAUCUUCUCCACCAACCCUCCAAUUUUUAGAGAGAGAUUUAGAGAGAUGAGAGAGAUCUCUAGAGAGAGAAGGGAGGGUUUCCCUCCCCCUCCAUGCGCGUGUGUGUGUGUGUGGUGUGUGCGGCUGAAGGAGAAGAAGAGGAGUCAACACUCCUCUUUAGUCAACACCACAACACUAUUCACUCCCGGGCAGUUCGAAAUCUGAUAUCUUUCGCCGGAACUCCCUGAACAUCCGUUUGAGCUCAAACUUCACAGUCAUGUUCGGUUUUAUGUACUGAGUAAGAAUAUAUUUUAAGUUUUCAGUUUCGACCCCAUUUGGUCACCGAAAACUGUGCCGAACUGUAAUCUUUAUCAGAUAACCCUCGGAUUUUAUUUCUCACUCUACGGGUGUCAGAAAAAUAUGAAACUUUAAAUCUAGCCUCAUAAAAAUAUUUCUGACUUAUCCUCCAAUUUUCAUAAUUUUCUGAGACUGUGCAUUUUCUGCUAAUUUAUCUGUCCCGUUUCCAACAGAAAAUUCUAGAUCUUCUGUUUUCAUUCCGAUUUCAGCACAAGUCACUUCUGACUUAUGUUUUACUCCUCUAAAUCCAAUAAAAAUAGUAUCUCAUACUAUUUUUAUUUAUUUUUAUUUUUAUAUUUAAAAUCCGGUAUAUUACAUUCCACCGCAACCUCACCGGAAUCAUUCAAAUGGCUUUCAAACCAAAUAUACACCGUAACUUCAUAAUUUUAGAAAUCCGGUACCUUACAAUCACUUUACUAAACCCAUA
rnacentral:lncRNA from 1 species